GGGAUGACACAGUAGGAUAAGCUAAGCACACUGUUGGUUAUGUGUGCCCAAGCAUUGAGGCAGUCAAAGUAGGCAAAUCCGCUUUGAUAAUGCUGGGAUGUGAUGGGGAGCGAAAUUUAGUAGCGAAGUAGCUGAUUUCACACUGUCAAGAAAAGUCUCUAUCGAGGUUAAAGGUACCCGUACCGCAAACCGACACAGGUGGGUGAGGAGAGUAUCCUAAGGCCAGCGAGAGAACUGUUGUUAAGGAACUCGGCAAAAUGACCCCGUAACUUAGGGAUAAGGGGUGCCACCAUCAGGUGGCCGCAGAGAAUAGGCCCAAGCGACUGUUUACCAAAAACAUAGGUUUCUGCUAAGUCGCAAGACGAUGUAUAGGAGCUGACGCCUGCCCGGUGCUGGAAGGUUAAGGGGAUCUGUUAGAGCAAUCGAAGCAGUGAACUUAAGCCCCAGUAAACGGCGGCCGUAACUAUAACGGUCCUAAGGUAGCGAAAUUCCUUGUCGGGUAAGUUCCGACCCGCACGAAAGGCGUAACGAUUUGGGCACUGUCUCAACAACAGACUCGGUGAAAUUGUAAUUCCGGUGAAGAUGCCGGAUACCUGCGACAGGACGGAAAGACCCCAUGGAGCUUUACUGUAGCUUGACAUUGGGUCUUGGUACUACAUGUACAGGAUAGGUGGGAGGCUUUGAAACCAGGACGCCAGUUUUGGCGGAGC
rnacentral:rRNA from 1 species